GGCCCGGGCGGCAGGUGCCGCUGCCUGAGGGCUCGCGGAAGUGCUCAGUUAGCUUUGCUCUCUGGGACGCUGGCCCGGGGGGCGGGCCUGUCGGCUGGCGUCUGUGAACGCUAGAGAUGCAGACGAAGGUCUGAGUGGACUUCAUUGAUCACCUGGGUAAAAGGAAUUUGGAAGCAGUAAGCCUCUAUCUCCAAACAAAUUUUAUUACUGAACAUCGCUGGGUCACUUCCAGUUGGGUAUUACUUCAAGACCCUAAGGAAGAACAAUGGUGUGGAAAUGACUUUAUAGAGGAAACCAUAUGUACAUAUUGUAUGUCUUUUAACAUGGCUCCAAAAGACUGCCUUGGACUUUAGACUCCAUGCCAACUCAGUAGGAGCAAGCCCAGAAAAGAACUAAGACAUUGAAGGGGGCUUCCUAUACUUAUUUUCACUCUAAAUUUUUUUGGGGAGAUAUUAAAAACAAAAGCAUUAAGGAAAUGUAUGAUUCUGGUCUUCCAUUUGCGAGCUAUGCAUCUGAUAAAAGAUUAAUAUCUGGAAUAUGGAAGGAGUUCAAGAAAUUCAGCAACCAAAAAAAGAAUCCAGUUUAAGAAGUGAGCAAAGAAUCUGAAGAGACAAAAUAAGAAAUUUUCAAAAGAGGAAAUGCAAAUGGACAACGAACACAAAAAAAUGCACAGGGAGCCAGCACUGUUGCAUAGCGUGUAAAACUGCCACUUACAGUGCCGGCAUCCCAUAUAGGUGCAGAUUCAAGUUCCUGCUGCUCCACUUCAAAUCCAGCUUCCUGCUAAUGUGCCUGGGAUAGCAGCAGAGGAUGGUUCAAGUCCUUGGGCUCCUGCAUCCCCAUAGGAGACCUGGAAGAAGCUCCUGGCUCCUGGCUUUGGAUCGGCUCAGCUCUGGCCAUUCAGCCAUUUGGGGAGUAAACCAAUGAUGGAAGAUUCUCUCUCUGUCUCUGCCUCUCUGUAACUCUGCCUUUCAAAUAAAUAAAUAAAUCUUCAAAAAAAAAUGCUCAGGGUCACACUAACCCUCAGGGAAAUGCAAAUAAAAACCAUAAUGAGGAUCAUCUCAAUCUAGCUAGAAUGGCUAUUAUCAAAACGACAAAAAACAGAGCAAAACAAAGCAGCAAAUGCUGGUGAUGUUGUGGGGAAAAGAGAACUCUAAUACACUGUUGGUGGGAAUGCACAUUUGCACAACCAUGAUACUGAGCAGUAUGGAGAUUCCUCAAAAGACUAAAAAUAGAUCUAGCCUGUGGCCCAGCUAUCAUGCUUCUGGGGAUAGAUCCAAAGGAAAUGAAGUCAGCAAUGAGAGAGAUAUCUGCACUCCAGUGUUUGCUGCUUACUAUUCAUAGUAGUAAAGCCAUCUGCACAUUAAUGUUUAUUGCAGCUCAAUUCACGAUAGCUAAGACCUGGAACUAACCCAAAUGCCCAUCAACAGUAGACUGGAUAAAGAAAUUAUGGGACAUGUACUCCAUAGAAUACUAUACAGCAGUAAGAAACAAUGAAAUCCGGUCAUUUGCAACAAGAUGGAGGAAUCUGGAAAACAUCAUGCUGAGUGAAUUAAGCCAGUCGCAAAGAGACAAAUAUCAUUUGUUUUCCCUGAUCGGUGACAACUAAC